AGGAAAGGAAUUUUUUGAUGUUUGGGGCUCUGAGACUGUCAGUUUAAAAAAUGAAGGUAAUAUAGAAGGGCCAAAGUGACAUUUAUCAUGCCAUCUCUCCAGGCUCCUGUCUCUUUAAUCAGCUAGCCUGAUUUGCCCAGUAAAUGAUUCCUGAGAGUGUGUAUGUGUGCGCGCGCGUGUGUGCCCGCGCGUGUGUGUGGUAGCUCUGUCAAUCCUUGGAUUAGAACCAAUGAUUGCAGCUCGUAGGAGGGCUGUCCAGGGCCAGAUUGUACGAUGUGUCUCAGUGCCAGAGUAUGAGGAGAGAUAAUUACUGAGAAGUCACACUCUCCCAUCCUUGGCUUUCUUGUGGUGUCCUUCAGCAAAACAGUGGAUUUAAACCUCCUUCCUCCAGCUCGAGAGCAACGCAAUCUGUCAGGAAAGAAAGAAAGAGAAAACCGAACCUGACAAAAAAGAAGAAAAAGAAGAAAAAAAAAUCAUGAAAACCAUCCAGGCAAAAAUGCACAAUUCUAUCUCUUGGGCAAUCUUCACGGCUCUGGCUGCUCUGUUUCUCUUUCAAGGAGGGGAGUGACUUGGAGCCACAGCACCUGAGCCAUGGGUGGGUGAUGCUGGAGGACCAUGUGGACGGAGCGAGCUGACCAGGUGAGCAGGAGCCAUUCGU
rnacentral:lncRNA from 1 species